UGUAGAGAGGCAGCCAGGUUGUGUCAGAAAGCCUCUGGGUCAUGCACAAGCCCUGGCCAGCCUUAUUUACCACACAGAUGGAUCCUCUGAGGUUACAUCUGUUUGCAAGGAAGGCUGAAGUCCACUUCUCUGGGUGACAUUGCUGGCUGGGUCCCACACAAGUGACCAGCAUCACACCAGGCCAGUGGGAUCAUGGGCUGUAAAUGCUUGUCUGCCCAUCAUACUGUCAUUGAUUAACAGAUGGAAACAAAGCAGCUUGGCAGAGCAAAUCACCCCUUGAGUAGUUGGCCCUGGAUGAUCUGCUGCUGAGCACACUGAACGUGGUGAACCUGGGGUCGUUGCCCCUGCUUGUAUGGAGAUGUAAGCAUCGAGGGGGUGGUGCACUGGAUGGAAACGUCUGUUCUGAAGGCAAAGGAAAGCUGGUGGUAGCUAUGGGUGUAUGUGUUCAGUCUUAGUGGAUUUGACAGCUCUGUCUGUCUGAAGAUGGAAAAUCUGAGCAGAAGAAUUGAGAAAGCAGAGUGCCUUAUGGGGGCAGGCCCCGGGGAGCAAAGAUGCUCCGCUUAGAGAGCUAAUUUGAAACAGAACUAUGGGAUCUGUGAUAUUACUUACUCAUUUCCUUUAUUCUCACAUGGUUUUCUUCUGCUGUUACUCUGCUUUUCUACAGGCCUGAGCUGUUCAUUACCAUCACACCAAGCAUGACUGUAAAUGACCUUCUGUACCCUUGAUUGUAACUUCUGAGUACAGUAAACACCGCCUGGACAUCGCCUCUGCAAAAAUCUCCCCUUUCUUCCCCUGGGGCUCUUGUCAGCUCCAGGAUGACAGGAAGCAUCUGCAUCAGCUCCCAGCAACACUUCAGUGGUGCUUGCAGACAAAUUCGUAUUUCCCAAAGAUGGGAAGAAGAUUCCCAGAAGAAGGAGGUCAACUGCCUCAGACAGAAGGGCCAUGGAAGAGCCCCUUGGACACUCCCCUUGGCGGACAAUAUGCUGAUGCACGUUAGUGACUUGAUAGCGAGCUCUUGCUUUGUGGGGGCUGCUGAAGGAUGUCCUUGGUGCUUCUGUGCAGUUACGGGCUCACUGAGUCUCUUCACCAGCAUGCCACUGUGGGUUUGGCUGCAAGGCUUUCAAAGCCUGAGUGCAGCGAGCAGUGCCCGGGUGGCGUUUCUGAUGGCAUCCAUGAUGUGUCUUCUGGUAGAGGAAUGAAUAGAGCUGCUAACCACUGACCCUUGCAAACCUGCCAGAGGGAAAAAAAACAAUAAAGGAAAGUAGGCAGCAGAGCAGGGCCACACUAUUUCUAGCAACUGAGAGCUCUGAUCAGGAGAUGGACAGGUGAGGAUUUCAUUGCACUGGGGGGCAGGCUGCAGUGUCUUCCAGGCCCGAGCGGUCUGCCUGCUGUGGGGCUGCACGCCAGCAUACCCAAUAGUGUGCUAACUGUUGCUGUUUAAUCUCCAGCAUCUUGUUUGACGCCUCGGUGUAAUAAUGAUGGAAAUAAUAAAUGGC
rnacentral:lncRNA from 1 species